GCCUCACGCUAUGGGUGAAGAGCCCUAUAAGCUCUUUCCCUUUUUGCUACUGAGUAGCAGAGUCUCCUGGCCCUCAAAAAGGUCAUUAAAAGGAAGGUGGGGCUUUCAGGAGGGGAAAUUCUCCCAUCAGAGGGUAAUUCUCUUGAAUUUUAGACCAUACUAAUGACACCUACUAAACCUUCCCUUCCAGAUUUUACCCACAAGUGGACUGGACAUGUAACCCAGGAAGCAGAGUGAAACCCAGAUUCUCUGUGAAUGCCGCCACGUAUUAGCAGCUGUGAAAGCCGUGCUUCUGCUUCUUAUGCACAUGUAGGGCCAAGCCGUGUUAAAUGGAUUGAUUCUUUCCUCAAGGGUCUUUACUUAAUGGAGGAAUUUCAAGAAGGAUCCCAGCCUGAGACCAGCGACGUGGCUGCUCUACCCUCAGAUUUAUAUGUCGAGGUAGAAGAGAGGUCAAACACACUGAGCCUUCCACUUCAGUAAAAGGUCAGAAGAGCCAGGAAAGCUGUUGUGAUUACUUCUAUGGCAAAGCAGUGCUUCAAGAAACACAUGCCAGAGACAUAGUUGUCUGCUGCUACUUUGGUCUCAGCUAGUUGCAGAAGACAGGGUUUGGCCUGAACUCCUGGUGGGAGCCUCUUCUUCCACCUUCCUGGGAGACCAGUGCUGUGCCAGCAGCAGGCUGAGGUAGUGAUGCUGACUACCAAGGCUGCUGCAGGCAGUGGGACCACUGCCUGUGCCCUGGCCUGGGGUGCACAGAGCAAGAUGUGAGAAACUACUGGACAUGGCACAAGAAACUGCUGGACCUGAAAGAUCACAGAGUGAGAAGCUGGCAGCUUUACAGAGAGUACUGUGAGGAAUUCACAGGUGGUUAAGGAGGAGUUAUGUGAGAAACAACCAAAAUUCACAAGAAAGGUGAAGUAUGAAGGUACUUAAGGACAGCAAGACAUUGGCAUAAGGAUUCCAGUUCAACGUAACCCUCUUCACAACCCCAUGCUUGGACUGACUGCAUUCCUGGGAAGCAGGGCACAGCUUUGUUAACCCAGUAGAGUUGCACCCAGUUGCUUCAGGAGUUAAUUUGGCAGCUUCACUGCAAGGAACCGAUUCAGAAGCUUCUUCAGCUGGUAACUGUGCCUCCCCUAGCAUAUGUGCACAGCACCUCACCUGAUGAUGGUCUAACCCAAGGGGAGGAGGGUGUUGUGUGCCACAGCUGUGAGCAGCUGUACCAUUUAUCUCUGGAGUGAUGGUCCAACAGCUUACCUGAGGAGUAAGAGCUGAGACUAUUGAUUGCGAGCCAUCAGGUUUCAGCAGUUCAAAGGGAUCAACCUCUGGAAAAGAAAGGCAGAAGGAAUAAAC